rnacentral:lncRNA from 1 species
GCUGCUGUGGGCUUUAGUGAUCAGGUCAGUUGUCCGUGACUGUUGACGAGCAGGACCCUGCUAGAAGGAGGAAGAGAGGGUCCAGAGGGACCCCAGGACCAGGCAGUGCCAGGGAGCCGAAGAGGGAGGGGUACGGAAAGAGCAGUCUUAGGACCCGGCCUCACACCUGCAUAGCAGCACCUUGGCCCCGUGGGAAAGCAGAGAAAAUGUGAACAUUCUCCACUGUGCCUAAUUCAUUUGGAAGG